GCAUAUCAAUAAGCGGAGGAAAAGAAACCAACAGGGAUUGCCCCAGUAACGGCGAGUGAAGCGGCAACAGCUCAAAUUUGAAAUCUGGCCUCGGCCCGAGUUGUAAUUUGCAGAGGAUGCUUCUGGCGAGGCACCGACCGAGUCCCCUGGAACGGGGCGCCAUAGAGGGUGAGAGCCCCGUAUGGUCGGACGCUUAGCCUGUGUGAAGCUCCUUCGACGAGUCGAGUAGUUUGGGAAUGCUGCUCAAAAUGGGAGGUAAAUUUCUUCUAAAGCUAAAUACCGGCCAGAGACCGAUAGCGCACAAGUAGAGUGAUCGAAAGAUGAAAAGCACUUUGAAAAGAGGGUUAAAUAGCACGUGAAAUUGUUGAAAGGGAAGCGCUUGUGACCAGACUUGCGCCUGGCCGAUCAUCCGGGGUUCUCCCCGGUGCACUCGGCCAGGCUCAGGCCAGCAUCGGUUCUCUCGGGGGGACAAAGGCUCCGGGAACGUAGCUCCCUCCGGGGAGUGUUAUAGCCCGGGGCGUAAUGCCCUCGAGGGGACCGAGGACCGCGCUUCGGCAAGGAUG
rnacentral:rRNA from 1 species